CUUGACAUCCUCGGAACUUUCUAGAAAUAGAUUGGUUGCUUCGGGAACCGAGUGACAGGUGCUGCAUGGCUGUCGUCAGCUCGUGUCGUGAGAUGUGGGGUAAGUCCCGCCACGAGCGCAACCCUGUCCUUAGUUGCCAGCACGUAAUGGUGGGAACUCUAAGGAGACUGCCGGUGACAAACCGGAGGAAGGUGGGGAUGACGUCAAGUCAUCAUGGCCUUAUGGCCUGGCUACACACGUGCUACAAUGGUCGGUACAGAGGGCUGCCAACCCGCGAGGGGGAGCUAAUCCCAGAAAGCCGAUCGUAGUCCGGAUUGGAGUCUGCAACUCGACUCCAUGAAGUCGGGAUCGCUAGUAAUCGUGGAUCAGCAUUGCCACGGUGAAUACGUUCCCCGGGCCUUGUACACACCGCCCGUCACACCAUGGGAGUGGUUGCACCAGAAGUAGCUAGGCUAACUUCGGGAGGCCGGUUUAUACACGGUGUGGUUCAUGACUGGGGUGAAGUCGUAACAAGGUAACCAAGGGCGUAAUUCGUUUAAACUGCAGGAAC
rnacentral:rRNA from 1 species